CAAGCACAUUUGGUCAAGAUGGAGCCACUUAAAGUGUACUUAAACGUAACGGGAAAUAGAUACGUAAUAUUCGAUUAACGAAGAUUCGACAUGCCGACAAUUUUUUGGUAUUCAAAAAAAAUUGAUAAAAAGAUUACCUUGAAGUGAUAAUAUUUGCACGUACAGCUGUACCGACGCAUCCGUGACGGUUAUUGACCGCCGGUGAUUUCGUCGAUCGAAAAUUGUCCUGUGAAAAUUUACCGGAAGGUGGUGAGAGCAGGGGGUUAAAUACCGCGAGGCGGUCGAAUUUCGCGUUUAAACAGCGGCGGGAAAACGAAUUUCCAAGACGUAUAAUUAUAAUAUAAUUAUAUUAUUAUUACAUGCGUAACAACGAUCGUCGAGGACCUUUCGAAUUUAUUAAUUAACUUAUGGGCGUGGGGAAAACGCGAAAAAACCGUGG